AGAAACUAACAAGGAUUCCCCUAGUAACUGCGAGUGAAGCGGGAAAAGCUCAAAUUUAAAAUCUGGCGGUCCUUGGCCGUCCGAGUUGUAAUUUAGAGAAGCGUCUUCCGCGCUGGACCGUGCACAAGUCUCCUGGAAUGGAGCGUCAUAGAGGGUGAGAAUCCCGUCUUUGGCACGGAUGCCUGGUGCUUCUGUGAUGCGCUCUCGAAGAGUCGAGUUGUUUGGGAAUGCAGCUCAAAAUGGGUGGUGAACUCCAUCUAAAGCUAAAUAUUGGCGAGAGACCGAUAGCGAACAAGUACCGUGAGGGAAAGAUGAAAAGCACUUUGGAAAGAGAGUGAAACAGUACGUGAAAUUGUUGAAAGGGAAACGCUUGAAGUCAGUCGCGUCGACCGAGACUCAGCCUUGCCUUGGCUUGGUGUACUUCUCGGGCUGACGGGUCAGCAUCAAUUUUGCACCUCGGAUAAUGGCAAGGGAAAGGUGGCACCUUUACGGGUGUGUUAUAGUCUCCUGUCGCAUGCGAGGGGUGGGAUUGAGGAACUCAGCACGCACCUCAGUGUCGGGGCUUCGGCCCACGUCACGUGCUUAGGAUGCUGGCGUAAUGGCUUUAAACGACCCGUCU
rnacentral:rRNA from 1 species